CAGACUCAGAACCCGCAGAGGGUGCGCUCGGAGAGGUCCGAGCUCCUAUUGGUUGGAGACCACACCGCAACGUCGCGCGUACGCACGCAGCACGCACAGCAGAGGCGUAAGGCCCGGGGCCGUUAAAAAAUGGCGACCGUCACUGAGCUGAAAGCUGUUUUAAAGGACACCUUGGAAAAAAAGGGAGUGUUAGGACAUUUAAAAGCAAGGAUCCGUGCUGAAAUUUUCAACGCCCUGGAUGACGAUCACGAACCCCGCCCAUCAUUGUCUCAUGAAAACCUUCUGAUUAAUGAAUUAAUUAGGGAGUAUUUGGAAUUCAACAAAUAUAAGUACACAGCCUCUGUCCUCAUGGCAGAAUCUGGCCAACCCAUAGUGCCAUUGGACAGACAGUUUCUCAUCCGUGAACUAAAUGCCUUUGAAGAAUCAAAGGAUAACUCAAUUCCUCUGUUAUAUGGAAUUUUAGCCCAUUUCUUGCGUGGUCCUCCAGAUGGCAUGCAGAACGUGCUGCAGACUGAGUCGACACUCCAACCUCCAAACAGGCAUCCCAGCUGGAAGCCCAACAGAAGACCAAAUGGGAUCAAAGUUGGGGAUCAGACUAUGUGGCAAGCAUCUUUACCCACUAAGCCAUCUUGCAAGCUUUAAAAGCACUUUCCAGUCAAAGGGAAGCCAGAGCUUCAGGCCCAGAGCAGCAUCAGUGAGAGACCCCAAUUACAGCCCAAAAGCAGCAUCAAAGGAAGACUGGAGCUUAAGACCUGGAGCAGCAUCAAGGAAGCCACGAGUCUCAGACCCAGGAGCAAUGUCAAAGAGAGGUUCGAGCUUCAGGCCCUGAGCAUCAUCAAGGGAGCCACCAACCCCUAGACCUGGGAGCAGUGUCAGAGGGAGGCCCAGGAGUGAGGAAUCAUCACCUGGUGAGACAACAGCACUGGUUUCCAGCAGUAGCUUCCAGAAACUAUUGCAAGAAGUUCCUUGGGGAAGAGCACAUGUAUCUCAGCCAGCAUCCACUUCCAUUUCUCGGUUGGAGAUAUCCCACUACUACAUAGACCACUGGACCCUCAGCACCACCUACACCUCCAACAGGAGGAGCAUCCACUGUAGCCAUACCUGCAUCUCAAGGAGUGACCACGUGAGCAUUAGGACCACUUCCACCAGGAGGACCGUUCACCAGAAGAAGCUCUGCUCUACUUGUGCCUGAAGGAGUAGUCAACAGAGCCACAACCCCCAACUGUACAAAUUGGAGAAAGAGAGAACACCUGAAGCACAAGUUCCACCUAUACUGAUGAGAAAGAGAAGCAUAGACAAUAAGACAACCACCUGAGGAAGGACACGGGGCUGAGCACCAUGACUGAAGAGCUUCAUGCUGCUGUGCAAGCAGUCAGUAGAUGAUGCAUGCACCAGGCAGGCUCCUGAUCUCAGCUGUGCAUGUGGAGUAAUAACUUCUUAUUCCCAAUCCCAUCAAUGAGACCACCAUUGUUUGUAAACAUGUGAGCUUCUAUAUAUUCAGCCCCUCAAGGUUUACUGCACCUGUGAAAAGCUCAUCCAUAUUCUCGCUUGCUGGAAGCCACUGGAGAAAAAAAAUGUAUGAUUUUCAGGAUGUAUUUUUAAAGUUCCUAAGUUCCUUUUUUGCCCCUUUUUGUACAGGCCAUCUCUAAGGGCUGUGGGUGUACCUCCAGUAAAGCCUUGCAGGUGUGAGACCCUUCGUUCAGUCCCAGCCCCUCGGAAAAGAAUACAGAGGGCAGAUCUUUGUCCAUAUGCUCUACUCAUUAAAUUUCCUUCAGCUAGUUAUAUAGACCUGUGGGAAAACUCAUUCACGUUUUGAAAAAAUAUUUAAAGGGCAUUAAAACCAGAACUUAUUCCUAUAAAGUUUUUUUUUGUUUGUUUUGUUUUUGUUUCUGUUUUGUUUUGUUUUUUAAGAAAUAUCUGAAUUACUGUCUGCCCUGGCUAAUUUUAUCUCAGCUUGACACAAGCUAAAGUCAUUUGGGAAGAGGAACUCUCAAUUGAGAAAAUCCCUCCAUUUGAUUGAUUUACGGGCAAGCCUUCUUAUUCAUGGUUGAUGUGGGAGGGUCCAGCCCAUUGUUGGUGGUGUCACCCCUGGGCAGUUGGUCCUGAGUUCAGUAAGAAAGCAGGUUGAGCAAGCCAUGGGGAGCAAGUCAGUGUGUAGCACCCCUCUGUGGUAUUUCUCCCUGACUUCACUCAGUGGUGGCUUGUGAUGUGGAACUGUAUGCUGAAAUAAACCCUCUUCUUCCCAAGUU